UACCGGAAUGCAUCGGCACUGCACAGAAGCGUAAAUCUUGCAAAAGGGAAAAAAAUACAAACACAACUAUCAAUCUAUUGGAGUAAAAAUAUUUCCUGGAGGUGAACUUUUCAAAACUGCACAAUACACAAUAAAAAGUUGGUACUACUUGAAGCUUUUCAUCGGUGCUGUUGUACUACUAGGAAAGAAACUACUCAACAACAUAAACUGCCUCCAGAGGGCGCAGAGGGUACUGGAAAUCCCCGGGACUCUCUUGCGCUGCCACUUUCUUAUUGCAAAAUGCGGUAAAAUCCGAUGAUUUACCCCACCUGACCCAGCACGAAGAUGUUGGUACAACAAACCUGCGGCAACAAAUACGAAAAGCUACACUGCAGCAAUUGGUUUCUGGUUCCGUUGCACAAUUGAACAUCAUCAUCAUCGUCAUCGUCAUCGAUGGUAAUGGAAAAGCCUGAACGGUUACUCGCUGAAGAAGGGAUUCUUUUUCCAUUUCCAUUCCUUCGGCUAGCAGCUCUCUUCCGCACCCAUGUGGGAUUACGUUCUAAUAAGAUUAAACGGAAGUACGUUAUAUCGGAUCAAAAUUGUACCUACCUAGACACUACCUACCGAACCGGGUGGCACUUACGAUAAGAGGCCGGAACAAUCGCAGGGAAAUUCGUCCAUAUCAGCUCCGCUCACAGGCUCUCGCUUGUGAUGGCAAUUGCGAAGCACUUAGGCAAUUGUGGCUGAGGUCACUUUUUCCAUCGUUUUUGCGAACUCAAUCGAACAAACACCGGUUCUCGGAACGUGGGCAGCCGUGUCGUCCGGCUCGAGUAGAGUUUAUCUGCUUUGUCGAUUUCAGCUUAAGCGAUGGAGGUUGUGAUUUUAUUCGGAACACCGAUUUUUUGCACUUACGUUAGCUUACAUAGGCUUCGUGAAAUAAAAUUUCUUCAGAGAAAAAAAAUAUUUGAUGGCAUUUAGGUGUACUGCCAAAAACUUAUAAAACAAUAUUUUUAGUUACCAACAAAUAUUUCAAAUAUUAUUAUAAAUAAAGCCAGAUUGGAUUUUACAAAUUUAAUGGCGUAGUUUUAGCAUCAUUCUCACUUUUUUCAGGGGUUUUCGAAAACUUCCAAAACCACCCCACCAAAUUCCGCUUCCAUUGUCCAGAGCUUUUUCACUGUACAAUCCAUUCAGGAAACUUCUGCAAAGGAAAAAUAUGGCAUUACUUUCGUCGAAUUAAGUUUGACAGUCAUGUAAACCUGGUUUCAAGCAGAGUGCGACAAUCAUAGUGCCAAAAGCCGCCACCCAGUUCCGCAGCGCAAUUUAUGGACGUGACGUCAUUGUCCCGAUCGUAGGUACUAA